CCUACGGGAGGCAGCAGUGAGGAAUAUUGGUCAAUGGUCGGGAGACUGAACCAGCCAAGUCGCGUGAGGGAGGACGGUACUGAGUAUUGUAAACCUCUUUUGUCAGGGAACAAAGGCGGGGACGUGUCCUCGGUUGAGUGUACCUGAAGAAAAAGCAUCGGCUAACUCCGUGCCAGCAGCCGCGGUAAUACGGAGGAUGCGAGCGUUAUCCGGAUUUAUUGGGUUUAAGGGGUGCGCAGGCGGUCUGUUAAGUCAGCGGUAAAAGUUUGGGGCUCAACCCCGGCCCGCCGUUGAAACUGGCAGUCUCGAGUUGGAGAGAGGUAUGCGGAAUGCGCGGUGUAGCGGUGAAAUGCAUAGAUAUCGCGCAGAACUCCGAUUGCGAAGGCAGCAUGCCGGCUCCACACUGACGCUGAGGCACGAAAGCGUGGGUAUCGAACAGGAUUAGAUACCCGUGUAGUC
rnacentral:rRNA from 1 species